rnacentral:rRNA from 1 species
AGCGAACGCUGGCGGCGUGCCUAACACAUGCAAGUCGAACGUGAAAGGGAGCAAUCCCAAGUAAAGUGGCGUACGGGUGAGUAACACGUAGGUAAUCUACCCCAGAAUCUGGAAUAACCGGCCGAAAGGCUGGCUAAUACUGGAUAGAGCGACGGAAUCCGUAAUUGGGUUUUUCGGGAAAGGGAGCCUGUUAAAAGGCCUUCGUUCUGGGAUGAGCCUGCGUCCCAUCAGCUAGUUGGUGAGGUAAAAGCUUAACAAGGCAAUGACGGGUAGCUGGUCCGGGAAGACGAUCAGCCACACUGGAACCGAAACACGGGCCAGGAUUCCAAGGGAGGGAGCAGGGGGGAAAUCUGCGGAAUGGAGGAAAGUCCGACGGAGCAACGCCGGGGGAGGGAAGGAGGCCUUCGGGUUGUAAAGAUCCGGCGAGUGGGGAGAAAAUGCUUUGAGUGCACAGAUGCAGGAAUUGACGGUACCAAUAAAGGAAGCACCGGCUAACUCCGUG